AGCCAUGCGUCGAGCACGUAGCGUACUAUUCUUUAGCCUUUUACUAAAGAAUAACGUGUGUUCGUCGCUAAUCAAGCGGCAUACACUUAUUUUUGGAAGGUUGUCUUUUAUAGGACAA